rnacentral:rRNA from 1 species
CCUACGGGCGGCAGCAGUGGGGAAUAUUGCACAAUGGGGGAAACCCUGAUGCAGCGACGCCGCGUGAGUGAAGAAGUAUUUCGGUAUGUAAAGCUCUAUCAGCAGGGAAGAAAAUGACGGUACCUGAUUAAGAAGCCCCGGCUAACUACGUGCCAGCAGCCGAGGUAAUACGUAGGGGGCAAGCGUUAUCCGGAUUUACUGGGUGUAAAGGGAUCGUAGACGGCAGCGCAAGUCUGAAGUGAAAGGGCGGGGCGUAACCCUGUACAUGCUUUUGGAACUGUGGUGCUAGAGUGCAGGAGAGGUAAGUGGAAUUCCUAGUGUAGCGGUGAAAUGCGUAGAUAUUAGGAGGAACACCAGUGGCGAAGGCGGCUUACUGGACUGUAACUGACGUUGAGGCUCGAAAGCGUGGGGAGCAAACAGGAUUAGAUACCCUAGUAGUC